rnacentral:tRNA from 1 species
GGCCGCUUGCCGGAAUGGUAGACGGAACGCACUUAAAAUGCGUCGGGGUACCCCCCGUGCGGGUUCGAGUCCCGCAGCGGCUA